rnacentral:lncRNA from 1 species
UUAAUUCUUAAAUAAAUAAAAUGACAAAUUAUAAUUUCGCAUCUUUUUGCCGCUUCAGAUAUGGGAAUUUAACCCAUUUUUCUUCUUUAAUCUUCUUACGCCAAUACGUCAAGUGACUGACUUCGAACAUGGUCUUUGGAAUCGACUAGAAGAAGUGGGCCGCAUUGACCCUCGAAAAUAUGCAAANNNNNNNNNNNNNNNNNNUACUCGGGCAAUUUCCAUGUAAAGAACAAUAAAUAAUAUUAACAUAUGAUUGACCAAAGAAAGAGGAAAGAAAUUAAAUGAAAUUAAUAUGGGUUUAACUAAAAAUAGCAGCAUACAGAUCUUCAAUAAUCAAUAAAGUAGGCAAAUUCACAAAGGUUGAUAUGCGACUAAACAAAGAUAGAAGAAUAUAUAAAGGUAGCGAAUACGUGAUUAACUGAAGAACUACAUGACGCAGAUCUUAACUAAUCUUUUAGGACAUUGUUUUCGAAGAUGGCAAAACAAAUUCAAGAAUAUAAAGGCAAAGCAUAUGAUACCUUCACGACUAAUUUGGAAUAAUUGCUUAUACACAUAGGGAUAAGAUUAGCCCUCAUUAAAGGACAAUAAAUAGUUGGGUGAAAGCUCAUAGCCCAAACAAAGGCUCUUUCUUGGAAAAUAUUUAAACCAAAGCUAGGAUUUUAACAUAAACUCUAUUUAGGGAAAUCACACAUUUUACAUCUAUUGGAACUCAAUCUCAACGGAGAACUAAUAAACACCUAAAGCAUAACUUCAAGACAUUCUCUAGCACAAACAGAUGCCUGAAACAGAGGAAGUAACUAUCUUUCAUUAACACAAUUGGAGACAUAACGAGAAUUGUUGAAUGCAACACCAUCACAUAUACACACAUUUUUUUAACAUGCUCGUACGCAUGGGGAGUCUUUAAAUCUUCCGAUUAUAAGGAAAGAAAACACUGAUCUCAUGACAAUACUUCAAACUUUGAAUAUAAUUCAACCCAGGCAAAACUAUCACCCACCAAAAUAAAAAAUGCAAUCUUGAGUAACGACAAGACGGAACAUUACUAGUUCAACAGUUACAAUAACGACAAAUAGUGACGGCAAGAAAAACCAAAGAAUGUUUCAAUCCUCUUCCUCUUUCCGACCGAGUCAAACGGACUGGUCAUUGAGAUAUCCUAGGAUUUUUGGUACUUUUUUUUGGACCUUACUCUCAUUUUCCCUUUGGCAUAUAAUAAACCAAAGGAGCCUACGAGGUGGUCCUGCUAGCAACACUGCUAGCUUGACAGCCGUGACACCAACUACUUGUAACCACAUGAUCAACACAGUCAAACAACAACUACGAACCAAAUAGCAUCUGGCUAGAAACUGCUAAAUAAACUAAAAGCAACAAACAUUAGCCAGAAAACCAAUCAUUCUAGCCACAAGCAAUACGCCAAGAGAGGCAUUAGGCUGAAGAUUAAUCCAUAACAAUAAAAGUGGAUGACAGAUUACGGAACCAAGAUGAAAAAAAUGAAUAGACGAAAACGACGUGAUACAAUCCAAAUAAGAAUUAAUCCUAACAUAACAAUACAUCCAAAACUUUUCACUAAAAAAAACUUAUAUGGUCUUUAAAACCUCUACAGAGGUCAGCCCAACAUACAAGAUAAUCUCAAAUUACUUAGGACUACAGAAUAGUGAGAUGAAGCAGAAGAAAUCUUAAGCUUAAAGGAAUAGGACGUUACCUUUCAGGGAGCGGCAAAACGGGACUGGAGCUAUCAGUAAAAUUGUCACCACGGGGAGCUAAUAUUUUCGACUCGGGAAUUCCCAAUCAAUCGACUAGCUUCCCAGAAAAGAAUGAAUGAGAGAAUUUUUGCGAAAUAAACUUUUACUUUAAGAAUUUCCCAAAAUUCAAACCUAGCUUUGGAAAUAGUAUCCCUAAAAGAAUAACCACCACCACCACCCCCCUCCCAAUUUUCGAAACAGCCUUUCGAACCAGCCUAAAAAAUUUUCCUUCAGUUUCUUUCAAAACCUCUGAAUCUUUGACCUAAACUUCGAACUAAAAAACUCAGAACUUUUCCUUUCUCUCAGACCUCAAAAAUUCAAACCCUAAAAAUGACGCAGAAGAAAACCCUUCCCUUUUCGAACCACCCCCAUUUUUGACUAAUUAAUUUUUUUAUUUUUCUAAGAGCCUAAAAAGAGAAAAUCCCCUUCCAAAAGAGAAAGAAUAUCACUAAAACAGUGGGCCCAAGGGACUUUAUAUAGAAGAAAGGGUUAGGGUAUUUUCGAAAUUCGGAAGAAGGAAUUUUGAAUUCCAAUUCCAAAAUUUUCUCCCCCCGAGCCUGUUUUCAUCCAUCGAUUGUACCCUUUUUUGUUGUUUCUCAUGAAAUUCGAAAAUGGAGUAGCCAAUAGAAAGCACUUCACCCCAAGAACCAAUGAUAAAUCUCCACCAACGUAUGAAUUUGUACCAUGGUACCCGAGAUUCGUGGGAUUUGAACGUUGGGGUGUGCCAACUCACCCAUUUCUAGAAGCUUUCUUGAAUUUUUAUGGCAAACACAUGCCAUCUAGGCGGGUCAAAGUUGGUUCGACGUUGGUGUUGUUGUUUCGGGUAUGGGAGACGGGUUCGCUGGUUGUUGAUAUUGUUGGGUUCUGAAUUUGCAAUGUUGCCGUUGUUUUCGAUCGGAGUGGAGAUAUAGGUGUUGUUUGCUAGUUUGGCUGAGAUUGAAGGACCGUCAAUGUUAUUGUUGGUUUGUUUUGUGGUGAUUGUACUCUGGUUAAGGGAAAGUGGGACGAGCAUUGGGACGGAUCAAGAUUUGUUGGGCCUUAGUGGGUGCAGACGGAUUUGGACCUGAUCCCUUUUUAAUUAAUUAAAAGGGAGUUACUGAUAUGCAAAUUUGGGCCAUCGAUUUGGGCCGUUAAAUUAGUUAAGUUUUUGGGUUUGGGUAGAUUGUGGGAUUAGUUAGAAAAAU